rnacentral:rRNA from 1 species
UACGAAGGGGGCGAGCGUUGUUCGGAUUUACUGGGCGUAAAGGGCGCGCAGGCGGUUCUGUUUGUCGAGUGUGAAAGCCCGGAGCUCAACUCCGGAACUGCCUUUAAGACUGCAUCGCUAGAAUUGUGGAGAGGUAAGUGGAAUUCCGAGUGUAGAGGUGAAAUUCGUAGAUAUUCGGAAGAACACCAGUGGCGAAGGCGACUUACUGGACACAUAUUGACGCUGAGGUGCGAAAGCGUGGGGAGCAAACAGG